AGGCUCGGAAGAGGCUGAGCGCCUCGGGGCUGUCGCGCUCGUCCCCGUCCUGGGACCAGGUGUCAUCGUCGUCGUCAUCCAGCCCCAGCGCUCUUUGAAGUGAACCUCAUAUAUCUGACAUCCUUCGGCAGGUGAAUGUUCAGGGACUGAGUCCCUGUCUGAUGGACAGGAGAGAAAUAAGCUGGUAUUUCUGCACAAGAUUUCCUGCAUGACUGUGGGAGCUUUGAGCCUUUCCUUCCCUGAGGUUUUGCUCCUGAAUGACAAUAAUGGUACAUCUCUCUACUCCUGGGAUAUUUGACACCUAAGUACAUUACCAUUUGAUAGAGGUUCUGAUGGUAUUUGACUUCAAGUCAUGGAAGCACCCUAGGUACAUGUCCAUCUAUCCUUACUGUUGCCCCACAUCAGCAAAUAGUAAAGAAGUCAGUGAUAAAUUCAUUCUAAUUUUAAUCUUUCUGACAAACCCUAGAGAAAGCCUUAAUAUGUGACCCAGUUUCUAUUUCUGAAAUAUUAUGGUUUUAAUCCUCUUUCUGUUUCAGUUUUGUCUAAUUCAAACUGGGGGUUGGACAUGCUAUCUAAUGCAAUCCAGUACUGGAGAAAUAUUGAUAUAAAAGCAGAAACAGAAACAAUUUCACAGAGUAAAGAAAUAAAAGGGGAAAUCUAGAAGUUGCUGUCAUAAUUUAUUAUUAUAUACCACUCUCCUGUGAGAAUUUGGAGUGCUUUAGAAUAUAACUGAAUGACACGUUUCAGCAAAAUAUCUCACCUCAUGCUGAAAAGGUGAAUGUCAUAACCAUUUUAUAGAUGCUGAAAUUGUAUUGCAGACUUCUCAAAUCCAGCAAAGCAUUGUACAAUAUAACGUCAAACAUACAGAUGUCUUAUUUUGGCAUUACUCAAAUGCUUUAAAUGACUCAUGGUUUAAAUGGCUUAUCCAUACCUAUAUAAUCAGGCAAAUGAGGAAUGGGAUAUGGUUUCUCACUGGAAACACUAGAGAAAUCCAUCUGAAUACAUGCGGUGUAGCUCCAUCAAGGGCUACAAGAGGCAGUCUUGAAACUAGUUCUCUUUUCAGAACAUAAUGAAUGCUGGCCAGAAAAUUAUAAGUAGCACUUUAGGACAAACACAGUUAAUAUAUUCAGCAUACUGGAUUUUUCUCCACAUAUUUCUUCUACACUCUUAAAUAUGAACCAGGACGCUGAGACACAAAGUGGUCUCCAGCAAGGCCAUGUGGAUGCAAGUCCACUUUGUUGCUUUAGUACAGGAUUUCAGAGUUUGUAUUUGUUUCUCCAUACAGUAUCAAAAUAAUUAGACCCUAUAUUUGGAAAUGUGAUUCCUUGUAUGUGCAAUGAAUCAUGCUCAGAGGAUUUCUAGUUUUUCCUCUCCCACCUCUUCCUGAGAUAAUUGGUCUUUCUGGUGUCAACUGGUGUUUACCAGAAUCUGCAAUCAUAUGAAUAACCAAAAGCUUGUAUUGAAAGAAAAAUAUGCUUACAUAUUCAGGAAAGGCCUUGUGCACGUAUUUAAGCGAUUUAAAGAAUUAGUGCGCUCAUAAGAUGUGUAUGGUUCAAAAACAUUUCAGAAACUCACAGAAUAAUUGUGGGGCUAUUAUUGUUUUCAUAUUGUGUGCAUUAUCUAUUAGGUUUCCUUGUCUUUAAGGGGAUCAUACUCAUUUACAUCUUUGCAGAAAUGCAAUGUUCUUCAAGGAGAUUAUUAUUUUCCUGAAAUAAUUUAAAUUGCCAUACUGGCAGGUUAAAAUAAACAGAUGCUUAUCUCAGUGGUUCUCUUGUUUCUCAGUGUUUUCAUAAUGCGAUUUUCACAAAUCACAAACAUCAUGGGACUCAUCCUAGGAGAUGUUCAAGUGAAAGCAGAUUAUCUGUAAAAUAUUCCUCUUUAGAAAGCAUACCUCCCACGUGAUCAUUAUUUAAGCGAUUUUAAAUAUCCUACUCACUCUGUUUCAUCCCUUUUUAUCAGAAUUCUUACGUUUAAGAAAAUAUAUUUCUAUUAAUUUGCUACAGAAGGAG